AACAAACGCUGGCGGCGUGCAUAACACAUGCAUGUCUAACGGGAAAGUCGGCUUCGGCUGGCGAGUACCGUGGCGAACGGGUGAGUAACACGUGGGUAAUCUAACCUCGAGUUUGGGAUAACCCUGCGAAAGCGGGGCUAAUACCGAAUAAGACCACGCCGUGUUCGCACGGUGCGGUAAAAGGUGGCCUCUUCCUGAAAGCUAUCACUUGAGGAUGAGCCCGCGGCCUAUUAGCUAGUUGGUGGGGUAACGGCCUACCAAGGCAACGAUGGGUAGCCGGCCUGAGAGGGUGUACGGCCACACUGGCACUGAGAUACGGGCCAGACUCCUACGGGAGGCAGCAGUGGGGAAUUUUGCGCAAUGGGGGCAACCCUGACGCAGCAACGCCGUGUGAGUGAUGAAGGCCUUCGGGUCGUAAAGCUCUUUUAGUGGGGAAGAAGCCUCUUUUGGCUAAUAUCCAAGGGAGAUGACGGUACCCACAGAAAAAGUUCCGGCUAACUACGUGCCAGCAGCCGCCGUAA
rnacentral:rRNA from 1 species